GAUGAAGAACGUAGCGAAACGCGAUAAGUAAUGUGAAUUGCAGAAUCCAGUGAAUCAUCGAAUCUUUGAACGCACAUUGCGCCCGCCAGCAUUCUGGCGGGCAUGCCUGUUCGAGCGUCAUUUCAACCCUCGACCUCCCCUUGGGGAGGUCGGCGUUGGGGACCGGCAGCACACCGCCGGCCCUGAAAUGGAGUGGCGGCCCGUCCGCGGCGACCUCUGCGCAGUAAUACAGCUCGCACCGGGACCCCGACGCGGCCACGCCGUAAAACACCCAACUUCUGAACGUUGACCUCGAAUCAGGUAGGACUACCCGCUGAACUUAAGCAUAACAAUAAGCGGAGGA
rnacentral:misc_RNA from 1 species